rnacentral:tRNA from 2 species
GGCGGCGUGGCGGAAUGGCAGACGCGCUUGAUUCAAAAUCAAGUUCCCUCUGGGAGUGGAGGUUCGAGUCCUCUCGCCGCUA